UACGUAGGGUGCGAGCGUUUGUCCGGAAUUAUUGGGCGUAAAGAGCUCGUAGGCGGUGUGUCACGUCGGCCGUGAAAACCUGCAGCUUAACUGUGGGCGUGCGGUCGAUACGGGCAUCACUGGAGUUCGGCAGGGGAGACUGGAAUUCCUGGUGUAGCGGUGAAAUGCGCAGAUAUCAGGAGGAACACCGGUGGCGAAGGCGGGUCUCUGGGCCGAUACUGACGCUGAGGAGCGAAAGCGUGGGGAGCAAACAGG
rnacentral:rRNA from 1 species